UAGCGUGGUGUGUGCCUGUGUGGGGCCAGAAGAGGUUGAUGUUGGGUGUCUUCCUCGAUGGGUUCCACCUUAUGUACUGAGGCAAGAGCUGAAGGGCCCGCCACCUGAUCCUGCUGCACUGCGUCCCUGGCCUGGGACAGGAAUUAGACAGUUGGAGUGACAUCAAAAACUGUCACAAUACAUACAGCACUACAGAUAAAAUAAGUCACAUCGCUGAUAGAGAAGCACCGCCAGCCUCCACCUGUGGGUCCCACCAAUUAUAGAUGGAAAGUACUUCAAGAACCUCAA